rnacentral:rRNA from 1 species
GAAUUUAAUAUAAAGUAGUUUUAAUUAGUUAGAUAAGAGGAUUCUAUUUUAUUUUUAGUUGGGAUAAUUAUUAAAUUUAAGAAAUUUUAAUUAAAGAAAAUAUAAAUUAGUGAGUUUAAAUGAAUGGUAGAUAAAUUUAAGUAGAAUAAAUUACCUUAGGGAUAACAGCGUUAUAUUUUUGGUGAGAUCUUAUCUAUAAAAAUGUUUGC